rnacentral:rRNA from 10 species
GGAUGCGAUCAUACGAGGACGAAAGCACCGGAUCCCAUCAGAACUCCGAAGUUAAGCGUGCUUGGGCGAGAGUAGUACUAGGAUGGGUGACCUCCUGGGAAGUCCUUGUGUUGCAUCCC